AACGAACGCUGGCGGCAUGCCUAACACAUGCCAGUCGAACGAGACCUUCGUGUCUUGUGGCGGUCGGGUACGUACCGCGUGGGAACCUGCCCUUAGGUUCGGAAUACCUGCCCUAAGGGGGUGCUAAUACCGCUUAAUCUCAUCGCACCAAAGACUUAUCGCUUUUGGAUGGGCGCGCGUUGGUUUCGCGAGUUGGUAGGGUAAAAGCCUACCAACGCGACGAUGCAUAGCUGGUCUGUUAGCAUGAUCAGCCAGACUGGGACUGAGGCCCGGCCCAGAACCGGAGGGAGGGGAGCAGUGUGGAAUAUUGGACGAGGGGCGAUAGCCUGAUCCAGCAACGCCGCGGGAGAGAGGAAGGGCGUAGGGUUGUAAAGCUCUUUGUCCCGGGACGUGAAUGACAGUACCGGGAGAAGAAGCUCCGGCUAACUCCGUG
rnacentral:rRNA from 1 species